rnacentral:misc_RNA from 1 species
AUUGAUCUGCCUCCAAUCUGCUUGCCAAACACAGCUCAUGUAACUCAUUCAAAAUCCACUCCUCCCCAGUGCGACCGCCCAAUACAAGAACCCUCGUCCCGCCGACUACACAAGUACUAUGACCCCAAGCAAACUUAGGUCGUUGCCCAGGAAUAUUCAGAAUCCUCCAUGUCGGUUUCUCUUCAGAUGGAUCCAAGAGAAAUAUCUCCGAAGGCGAAUGCAGUCCCGUGAUCGAACCUCCAAAAAU